GACAAAUGCAGGUGGGCGAAUUAACGAAACAAUGGAUUACCUGCAGGUCUACCUACUCUGGCCAGCAAUUUUGUGAUAAUGGAGUUAGUUUAUGCCAUCGACCCCAGAGCUUGUACUUGACUGGUACUUUAUUUUAUCGACCUCGAAAAGAUGAAAAGCAAAGUUGACCACUGCCCGAUUUGAAAUCAGAAGAUAAAGGACUGAAGCGAAUGUCGUAAAGUAUUUUUCCAGACAUUCUGACAAUUUUUGCAAAUAAUAAAAUGAGAUGCACAACUGAAA